rnacentral:snRNA from 1 species
GGAUGUGAGGGCGAUCUGGCUGCGACAUCUGUCACCCCAUUGAUCGCCAGGGUUGAUUCGGCUGAUCUGGCUGGCUAGGCGGGUGUCCCCUUCCUCCCUCACCGCUCCAUGUGCGUCCCUCCCGAAGCUGCGCGCUCGGUCGAAGAGGACGGCCUUCCCCGAAAACCAGUUAGCAGUGAGAUAAAAGAAUUCAAGAGCAAUAGUACCAAACAGGUCCUAUAUUCCUGAGGCUCAAGGUUCAAAGCCUGGCACUACAAUUUGCCAGAGCUGAAUGAUGAUCUGGGGUCUCCAGCUUUCUCUCUUUC